rnacentral:rRNA from 1 species
AAGUCGUAACAAGGUCUCCGUUGGUGAACCAGCGGAGGGAUCAUUACUGAGUACUACACUCUCUACCCUUUGUGAACUAUUAUACCUGUUGCUUCGGCGGCGCCCGCAAGGGUGCCCGCCGGUCUCAUCAGAAUCUCUGUUUUCGAACCCGACGAUACUUCUGAGUGUUCUUAGCGAACUGUCAAAACUUUUAACAACGGAUCUCUUGGCUCCAGCAUCGAUGAAGAACGCAGCGAAACGCGAUAUGUAAUGUGAAUUGCAGAAUUCAGUGAAUCAUCGAAUCUUUGAACGCACAUGGCGCCUUCCAGUAUCCUGGGAGGCAUGCCUGUCCGAGCGUCGUUUCAACCCUCGAGCCCCUGUGGCCCGGCGUUGGGGAUCUGCCACGGCAGGCCCCUAAAACCAGUGGCGGACCCGAAGGGCCCUCUCCUUUGCGCAGUAGCAUUCGCCUCGCAUCGGGAGUCCUCGGCGUCCUGCCUCUAAACCCCCCACAAGCCGCUUCGGCGGCACCAAGGUUGACCUCGGAUCAGGUAGGAAUACCCGCUGAACUUAA